UACGGCUCAGUAACACGUGGAUAACCCGCCCUUGGGUCCGGCAUAACCCCGGGAAACUGGGGAUAAUACCGGAUAACGCAUAUAUGCUGGAAUGCUUUAUGCGUAAAAUGGAUUCGUCUGCCCAAGGAUGGGUCUGCGGCCUAUCAGGUAGUAGUGGGUGUAAUGUACCUACUAGCCAACAACGGGUACGGGUUGUGAGAGCAAGAGCCCGGAGAUGGAUUCUGAGACAUGAAUCCAGGCCCUACGGGGCGCAGCAGGCGCGAAAACUUUACAAUGCGGGAAACCGUGAUAAGGGGACACCGAGUGCCAGCAUCAUAUGCUGGCUGUCCGGGUGUGUAAAAUACACCUGUCAGCAAGGGCCGGGCAAGACCGGUGCCAGCCGCCGCGGUAACACCGGCGGCCCGAGUGGUGAUCGUGAUUAUUGGGUCUAAAGGGUCCGUAGCCGGUUUGGUCAGUCCUCCGGGAAAUCUGACGGCUCAACCGUUAGGCUUUCGGGGGAUACUGCCAGGCUUGGAACCGGGAGAGGUAAGAGGUACUACAGGGGUAGGAGUGAAAUCUUGUAAUCCCUGUGGGACCACCUGUGGCGAAGGCGUCUUACCAGAACGGGUUCGACGGUGAGGGACGAAAGCUGGGGGCACGAACCGGAUUAGAUACCCGGGUAGUCCCAGCCGUAAACGAUGCUCGCUAGGUGUCAGGCAUGGCGCGACCGUGUCUGGUGCCGCAGGGAAGCCGUGAAGCGAGCCACCUGGGAAGUACGGCCGCAAGGCUGAAACUUAAAGGAAUUGGCGGGGGAGCACA
rnacentral:rRNA from 1 species